GCCGGGCACGGUGGCACGUGCCUGUGCUCCCAGCUACUCGGGAGGCUGAGAUGGGAGAACUGCUUGAGCCCAGGAGUUCUGGGCUGUAGUGCGCUAUGCCAAUCGGGUGUUUGCACUAAGUUCGGCAUCAAUAUGGUGACCUCCAGGGAGUGGGAGACCCCCAGGUUGCCUAAGGAGGGGUAAACCGGCCCAGGUCAGAAACAGAGCAGGUCAAAACUCCCGUGCUGAUCAGUAGUGGGAUCGUGCCUGUGAAUAGCCACUGCACUCCAGCCUGGGCAACAUAGCGAGACCUUAA
rnacentral:SRP_RNA from 1 species